rnacentral:rRNA from 1 species
GAUGAACGCUAGCUACAGGCUUAACACAUGCCAGUCGAGGGGCAGCAUGACCUAGCAAUAGGUUGAUGGCGACCGGCGCACGGGUGAGUAACACGUAUCCAACCUGCCGAUUAUUCCGGGAUAGCCUUUCGAAAGAAAGAUUAAUACUGGAUAGCAUAACGAGAAGGCAUCUUCUUGUUAUUAAAGAAUUUCGAUAAUCGAUGGGGAUGCGUUCCAUUAGUUUGUUGGCGGGGUAACGGCCCACCAAGACAUCGAUGGAUAGGGGUUCUGAGAGGAAGGUCCCCCACAUUGGAACUGAGACACGGUCCAAACUCCUACGGGAGGCAGCAGUGAGGAAGAUUGGUCAAUGGACGAGAGUCUGAACCAGCCAAGUAGCGUGAAGGAUGACUGCCCUAUGGGUUGUAAACUUCUUUUAUAGGGGAAUAAAGUGGGCCACGUGUGGCUUUUUGUAUGUACCAUACGAAUAAGGAUCGGCUAACUCCGUG